rnacentral:lncRNA from 1 species
UCGCCGGGGAGGGGGGAGGGGUCCAGGGCUCGCCCCCUCGGGAGGGCUGUCUCUGGCGGCACCUCGGGGUGACGCAGCCUCCCCCGGCGCGGAGCCUCUCCGGGUUUGCAUCCCCGCAGUGCCCGCGCUGCCGGGGGCCCUCACCGGGUACACGCGGGGACGAGGACGCGGCGCGGGGCGUGGAGGAACAUUGGGACCCCAUCCCGUCCCAGAGCGGCCCCAGGAUCCGAGGUCUGACAUAGGGUAGGAGGGAUUUACUGGGAGUCCAGGAUUUCAGCUCCUCCAGCGGCCGCGGGGUCCGGCGAGGGUGAGGAAAAACUCCUUCCUGACGGAGCUCUCCAGCUUUGGAUUGGAAAGCUGCCUCUGAGACUCUGAAGGUUUACCUGCUGAUACUCGCUCCUUCCCAGUAACCCUCCAUCCCAAGGGGAGCCCCAGAAAGAACACCAGGGGGGCCUCCCUGCUGCCGCAGAACCACCUCACCCGCCACUCCAGCACUAAGUCAGAGCUGCCUGAGGAAGACUCCGCACACGUUUCCCUCGAGCUGGUCUGCAGGCCCCUCUGGCUGGGACCCUGUCCUGGGAGCUGCCCGUCUGCAAACAGAGAGCCCACAGUGCCUCGGGAAAAAUUGGCUGAAUAAAAGAUGCGUUGGAGGGAAGGACAGGAGAUACAGGAACGAGGAUGGAGCAGAGCAAGAUGGGGUUGAAGGAGCGUCCACAGAAGCUUCUGUGCAGGCCAGGCUGAGAGGUCACUACCCAGAAGGCUGAGGGUCCCCGAUGCUGGCCGGGCUCCAGAGACUCCUGAACUUGUGGAUGUGGAGUUUUUCCUCCUCCAGUUUUGUGAUGAAUAAAUUCACUUGUCUCCCCA